GCGGGCGUAGCUCAGUUGGUUAGAGCGUCGGCCUGUCACGCCGAAGGUCGCGGGUUCGAGCCCCGUCGCUCCCGCCA
rnacentral:tRNA from 1 species